rnacentral:rRNA from 1 species
UACGUAGGUGGCAAGCGUUGUCCGGAUUUACUGGGCGUAAAGAGCGCGCAGGCGGUUGGGUAAGUCGAAUGUGAAAGCCCCCGGCUCAACUGGGGAGGGUCAUUCGAUACUGUCCGACUCGAAGGCAGGAGAGGGAAGCGGAAUUCCUGGUGUAGCGGUGGAAUGCGCAGAUAUCAGGAGGAACACCGAUGGCGAAGGCAGGUCAAUGGGCCGCAACUGACGCUGAGGAGCGAAAGCAUGGGGAGCGAACAGG